CAGCUGCAACUCGACUGCACGAAGCUGGAAUCGCUAGCAAUCGCGGAUCAGCACGCCGCGGUGAAUACGUUCCCGGGCCUUGUACACACCGCCCGUCACACCAUGGAAGUCUGCAAUGCCCGAAGCCGGUGGCCUAACCACUUAUGUGGAAGGAGCCGUCUAAGGCAGGGCAGAUGACUGGGGUGAAGUCGUAACAAGGUAUC
rnacentral:rRNA from 1 species